rnacentral:rRNA from 1 species
AUUUGGCCCAAACGCGCGCUGGCGUGGGAGAGCGCGGGACAUUUCCACUCAAAAGAAUUAUAGCCACCGCUCAAAAAAAGAGGAGAAUUAGAGCCACCACAUGACCUGUUCUCCCCCAAAUCGGCCCCUCCCUAGACCUCCUCCUCGACCACCGCCGCCGCCCCCUCUGCCGUUGACCACGCCCUCCACCUCCCCCCUUUGGUUGACCUGUGCGACCCCAUCGGGAUCUAUGGCGGCGGUGCUUGGAUCUCGGCGUCGCCUCCCUCGAUACGCCUAUGGUGUACGAGGUCGUCGUUGCCUCCCUCCCUUCGACACCACCACCAGAACUGGUCGACGAUGCCGGUCGCCUCCAUCUCUUCUUUACAGUCCAUCACGCCGACGAGCAUAGGCCCCCACCACAGCUUCCUCCCCGCCAACGGCGAGCGUGGUGUCCCAUCUCUACUGUGCUGGUACAAUACUUUCCUCAGAUCCAUCUUGGUGGAAACCUGAUGCAGGUGCUAUUAGUGAAAGGAUUGGAGACUGGUUCUAGCAGUGGUUGGUUUGUUCGAGGAAUUCCUGGUGCUCGUGAUUAGUAAAGGGUUUCAGCCCAGGGCAAGUAAUUAUCAGCUGAGCAAAGGCUACAAGAUGCUAGAAGGAGAAGUUUGAAUGGAGGCAGAGAGUACACUAGGAAAUAGAAUGGAAAAAGGAAGAGAAGACAAUGCUGAAGCACAAGAGUGAGAGGCUAGCGGAAGUUAAAGCAAUAAACUAUAAGCAUUUUGAAUGAUUUGGGCCUCGUGUUGUUGGGAACAUUACAACCAUGGGGAAAGCUAAUUUUGGUUGCUAGUUUAGCAUAGAACACUAUAUGCUCAUUUUGGUCAUGUCGAAUCCAAAAACAUAUUUAAUUUUCCUUUUGUUGCACAACACCCUUAUAUAUGGGCGUUUCUAGGAACAUAUGUAUUUGGUCGUUAAUUUCAUUGAAUGAAGUUAAGUUUUAUGAUGAGGUCCAUAUGUGAAUUAUGAAAUAGUGUCAUUUGUCUUGAUUGCCUGGAAAAA